rnacentral:rRNA from 1 species
AGUGAACGCUGGCGGUAGGCCUAACACAUGCAAGUCGAACGGCAGCACAGGAGAGCUUGCUCUCUGGGUGGCGAGUGGCGGACGGGUGAGGAAUACAUCGGAAUCUACUCUGUCGUGGGGGAUAACGUAGGGAAACUUACGCUAAUACCGCAUACGACCUACGGGUGAAAGCAGGGGACCCUCGGGCCUUGCGCGAUUGAAUGAGCCGAUGUCGGAUUAGCUAGUUGGCGGGGUAAAGGCCCACCAAGGCGACGAUCCGUAGCUGGUCUGAGAGGAUGAUCAGCCACACUGGGACUGAGACACGGUCCAGACUCCUACGGGAGGCAGCAGUGGGGAAUAUUGGACAAUGGGCGCAAGCCUGAUCCAGCCAUACCGCGUGGGUGAAGAAGGCCUUCGGGUUGUAAAGCCCUUUUGUUGGGAAAGAAAUCCAGCUGGCUAAUACCCGGUUGGGAUGACGGUACCCAAAGAAUAAGCACCGGCUAACUUCGUGCCAGCCGCCGCUGUAA